rnacentral:lncRNA from 1 species
AUGCACAGCUGCUCUGGGGUCCAGUCUCAGGUCCUGUCUUCAGUCUCUGGAGCGGGCAGCUGGCUCCUCCUCUCCACCGUCACCCUCAUACAAACUGAACUAAUUCCUUCCCAAUUAUUGGGCUUUGCAGCCCUCCGUGCUUGGGGGGAAAUUAGUAUUCCAGUUAAUGAUGUCACAGUUCAAAUCAGUCUUCUCUUAGUGUCUGCGUGGUCUGGAAUCUGUGUGUGUUGCCGGGCAGGGCAGGGUUUGAGCACAGAGCAGAGAGAGGGCAACAGAGCCAGGUACCCAGAGCUGCAGGCAGGGCAUCUUCACACAGUGAAAGGGGAACACCUGUUAGGGCAGCUUUGUGGGACCCGUCCCAGCAUCUGGGAGAAGUCUCCCCAUUGCCUGUGUCCCCUCAUUCCCUUCGUGUCCCCUCUCUUUGCCUCAGACACCCCCACUGCUCUUCUGAACACCUUUCUGGUCCAGGGAACCAGUGUGAAGGGGAGAUCCUCUGUCAAGAAAGAUUCCAAGGUGUUUUCCAGGACUUGAAGUCCCACCUGCCUUCUUCACCUCACCCUGCUGACAGAGGAGCCUCUUUCACCACCUACUCUCAUCUCUGACUUUGAAGUUUUGCAGCUUCGGGGGAGAGUUUCCCCUGAUGAGAAUGUGUCCUUGCAGACUUCCCAUCUGGUGUCCUCUCUUCUCUUAGCAGGUCUGGGUUUCUUGAGUAGGGUGAUGGGGGUGCACUUCUGGAGGAGGGGAGGAGACGGGAGCUCUGGUUGGAAGGCUGCAUGGUGGCUGGGGCUGGGGGCAGGGCUGGAGCUGGGCUGUGUUCCCAGCCCUGAUCAUGUUCUUGCUGGUCACCCGUAGCUGUCCUACUUGGGUUUAAAUGUCACUCAUUUUCAGAUGAUGGCACAACUGUCAGGACUUGUGUAAAGAUGGUCAGAAAAGUACUAUGGGGUCACUUUCUCUUCCUCUUUUUUUGUUCACACAGUUCUGCCUGUGGUUUAUUGGUGAAAGGAAGAACAUUAAUUUCUUUUAUCUUGGUAUAAAUGUAAAACAUGAUCAUUGUGGCUACAGAAAAGUACAAGGAUGAAAACCAAAUUCACCCCAAAUCUCACCACCCAUGUAUACGUACUGAUAACAUUUUGACAUACAUAGUACUAUAUUUUGGAAAUAGUGUUAUUGUACUUCUUUUCAUUAAAAGAGGGUAGUCAAUUUUAUAACAUAAUAGAAACAUUUCAAAAACAUAAUUAUUAAUGAUGGAAUAUUCUAUCCUGUAAGGUAGCAUUACUUACUAAAGUGGUAUGCAAUGGAUAUGAUACAUAAUGGUUUCCUAGAUUUUACUCAUUGUGUUGAACAUAAAUGAUGUCUUGGUAGACUUUUAUUUACCCAAUUUUCUAGUAUAACCAUACUUUUUGCUUUUUUUUGGGGUGUGGUUUGGUUGGUUAUGUUUGUUUGUUUUUGUCUUGUUAAAAUUUUUUAUUUUUUAUUUUACAAUUUUUAAAAGUUGACUCCAUUACACUUAUUACAAAAUAUUGGCUAACAUUCCUUGUAUGGUAGAGAUUCCCAGGUGGUGCUAGUGGUAAAGAAUCUGCCUGGCAAAGCAGGAGACACAAGAGACAUAGGUUUGUUCCCUGGGCCGGGAAGAUCCCUUGGAGUAGGAAAUGGCAAUCCACUCCAGUAUUCUUACCUGGAAAAUUCCAUGGACAAGAGGAGCCUGGAGGGCUACAGUCCAUGGGGUUGCAAAGAGUCGGACACUACUGAGCAUACACAUAUGUAAGCCUUGUGUGGUACAAUAAUAUGACCGUAUAUAUUGAUUGGGUAUUUUGUGUCAAAUAUGGUAGGAAAAUAUACAUUCUGAGGGCAGGUUUAGUGCUAAGCAAUGGAAGGACUAAUUCUGUGUGUUAAUAAUUCCGACACCCUGUUCCCAGCUGUCCUGACCCUGCUCUUCUGCCCUGAGUUCUGUUAGUUGAUAAGUCUUUAAGUUCUUGGUAUUUGUCUUUGUGUCUCCCAGACAGGUUUCCAUGAAGCUGGGCACCUGUGAAAUGAGGGGCCUGGGGACAGAGUGGCCUCCUGUAGGUGGGAGGAGAGGGUGGAUUUUUCUGGCACAAAAUGUGAAUUCUGAUUUGGGGAGAGUGGUUAAUAGAGGCAGCCCUGCCUCCCCUUGAAAGCCUACCCUUGGAAUUCUCCAGAUUCCUGUAGGAACAUUGCUCAGUAUUGGCGUGGGUAUUUCAAAACCAGGCCCUAGAGGUCAAUACCAGGCCUAUCAACAUAUUUGCAUAAACUUGGGGUUUCUGGUUUUUGUUUUUCAGUUUUAAAAUUAGAUUCUAAUUGCUUUACAAUGUUGUGCUAAUUUCUGCUGUACAAGAAAGUAAAUCAGCUGUAUGUGUACAGACAUCCCCUCCCUCUUGGACCUCUCCCCUUCCUCAUUCCCACCCAUCUAGAUCAUCAGAGAGCACCGAGCAGUUUCCCUCUAGCUAUCUAUUUUAUACAUGUUACUAUAUAUGUCAAGUAGUACAUAAUAAAAUGGAAUAUUACUCAGCCAUUAAAAGAAUGAAAUUGGGUCAUUUGUAGAGAUGUGGAUGGACCUAGGUCUGUCAUACAGAGUGAAGUAAGAAAGAGAAAAACAAACACCGUGUAUUAACGCAUAUAGUAUUAUUUGCUCAGUCAUGUCCAACUCUUUGCAACUCCAUGGAUUGUAGCCUGCCAAAUUCCUCUGUCCAUGGGAUUUCCCAGGCAAGAAUACUAGAGUGCGUUGCCAUUUCCUUCUCCAGGGGAUCUUCCUGAAUCAAGAAUCGAAGCCGGAUCUCCUACACUAUGGGUGGAUUCUUUACUGCGGAGCUACCAGGGAAGCCUCAAAAUUAACGUCUAUAUGUGGAAUCUAAAAAACAGUACAGAUGAACCUAUUACCAGGGCAGGAAAAGAGACACAGAUGUAGAGAAUGGUCAUCAGGUCUGUUUUACCCAACUAGUCUGCACCAGACCACACUCAUCUUUUUGUUUUUGUCUUCUAUCUGUUGUCUCUUUCCUUCCUGAAUUCCCCUCCCUUCCUCAUUGUCUCUCUCUGUUUCCCUCAUACUGAUUGUUGAGCAUUCAGUCCAAAAUGUGUCAGAAAAUCUGAAAAAAGAAGGGGAAUAUAAUGUAUAUACUAUAUAAUAUAAAAU